UACGAAGGGGGCUAGCGUUGCUCGGAAUUACUGGGCGUAAAGGGCGCGUAGGCGGUUCGUUAAGUCCUGUGUGAAAUCCCCCGGCUCAACUGGGGAACUGCACAGGAAACUGCAGUGCUAGAAUUCUGGAGAGGCGAGUGGAAUUCCGAGUGUAGAGGUGAAAUUCGUAGAUAUUCGGAAGAACACCAGUGGCGAAGGCGACUCGCUGGACAGACAUUGACGCUGAGGUGCGAAAGCGUGGGGAGCAAACAGG
rnacentral:rRNA from 1 species